GCAAGUCGAACGGGAACUGGCAGGUAGCAAUAUCUUCCAGUUCUAGUGGCGAAAGGGUGCGUAACACGUGGGUAAUUUGCCUUAAAGUUUGGGAUAACUUGCCGAAAGGUGAGCUAAUACCGGAUGUGGUUUCUCGGCGGCAUCACCGAGAAUCUAAAGCUGGGGAUCUUCGGACCUGGCGCUUUAAGAUAAGCCCGCGGCCUAUCAGCUUGUUGGUGAGGUAAAAGCUCACCAAGGCAAUGACGGGUAGCUGGUCUGAGAGGACGAUC
rnacentral:rRNA from 1 species